UCGAACGAUGAAGCCCAGCUUGCUGGGUGGAUUAGUGGCGAACGGGUGAGUAACACGUGAGUAACCUGCCCCCGACUCUGGGAUAAGCCCGGGAAACUGGGUCUAAUACCGGAUAUUACCUCUUGCCGCAUGGCAGGUGGUGGAAAGAUUUAUCGGUGGGGGAUGGACUCGCGGCCUAUCAGCUUGUUGGUGAGGUAAUGGCUCACCAAGGCGACGACGGGUAGCCGGCCUGAGAGGGUGACCGGCCACACUGGGACUGAGACACGGCCCAGACUCCUACGGGAGGCAGCAGUGGGGAAUAUUGCACAAUGGGCGAAAGCCUGAUGCAGCGACGCCGCGUGAGGGAUGACGGCCUUCGGGUUGUAAACCUCUUUCAGUAGGGAAGAAGCGAAAGUGACGGUACCUGCAGAAGAAGCGCCGGCUAACUACGUGCCAGCAGCCGCGGUAAUACGUAGGGCGCAAGCGUUAUCCGGAUUUAUUGGGCGUAAAGAGCUCGUAGGCGGUUUGUCGCGUCUGCCGUGAAAGUCCGAGGCUCAACCUCGGAUCUGCGGUGGGUACGGGCAGACUAGAGUGAUGUAGGGGAGACUGGAAUUCCUGGUGUAGCGGUGAAAUGCGCAGAUAUCAGGAGGAACACCGAUGGCGAAGGCAGGUCUCUGGGCAUUUACUGACGCUGAGGAGCGAAAGCAUGGGGAGCGAACAGGAUUAGAUACCCUGGUAGUCCAUGCCGUAACGUUGGGCACUAGGUGUGGGGGACAUUCCACGUUUUCCGCGCCGUAGCUAACGCAUUAAGUGCCCCGCCUGGGGGAGUACGGCGCAAGGCUAAACUCAAAGGAAUUGRMSGGGGGGCCSCACAGCGGCGGARCAUGSGGAUWAUUUCGAUGCACGCGAGACCUUACCAGCUUGACAUGGUGGCAGACCGCCUYCUCUAGA
rnacentral:rRNA from 1 species